rnacentral:rRNA from 1 species
AACGAACGCUGGCGGCAGGCUUAACACAUGCAAGUCGAGCGCCCCGCAAGGGGAGCGGCAGACGGGUGAGUAACGCGUGGGAACGUACCUUUUGGUUCGGAACAACUCCGGGAAACUGGAGCUAAUACCGGAUAAGCCCUAACGGGGAAAGAUUUAUCGCCGAAAGAUCGGCCCGCGUCUGAUUAGCUAGUUGGUGAGGUAACGGCUCACCAAGGCGACGAUCAGUAGCUGGUCUGAGAGGAUGAUCAGCCACACUGGGACUGAGACACGGCCCAGACUCCUACGGGAGGCAGCAGUGGGGAAUAUUGGACAAUGGGCGCCAGCCUGAUCCAGCCAUGCCGCGUGAGUGAUGAAGGCCUUAGGGUUGUAAAGCUCUUUUGUCCGGGAAGAUAAUGACUGUACCGGAAGAAUAAGCCCCGGCUAACUUCGUG